AUUGAACGCUGGCGGCAGGCUUAACACAUGCAAGUCGAGCGAGCGGCGGACGGGUGAGUAAUGUCUGGGAAACUGCCUGAUGGAGGGGGAUAACUACUGGAAACGGUAGCUAAUACCGCAUACCAUCAGAUAUGCCCAGAUGGGAUGAGCUAGGAGGUGGGUUAAUGGCUCACCUAGGCGACGAUCCCUAGAGGGUCUGAGAGGAUGCCCAGCCACACUGUAACGGAGAGACGGUCCAGCCUCCGACGGGAGGCAGCAGUGGGGAAUAUUGCACAAUGGGGUCAAGACUGAUGCAGCCAGUCCGCGUGUGUGAAUAAGGCCUUCGGGUUGUAAAGCACUUUCAGCGAGGAGGCGUUACUCGCAGAAGAAGCACCGGCUAACGCCGUGCCAGCAGCCGCGGUAAUUC
rnacentral:rRNA from 1 species